ACGCUCGACACUACGGGAGCAGCAGUGGGGAAUAUUGGGCAAUGGGCGCAAGCCUGACCCAGCAACGCCGCGUGAAGGAAGAAGGCCCUCGGGUUGUAAACUUCUUUUCUUGGGGACGAAGCAAGUGACGGUACCCAAGGAAUAAGCCACGGCUAACUACGUGUCAGCAGCCGCGGUAAUCUGAGCGGGCUGGCAAGGC
rnacentral:rRNA from 1 species